rnacentral:rRNA from 1 species
GCAUGGUUGUCGUCAGCUCGUGUCGUGAGAUGUUGGGUUAAGUCCCGCAACGAGCGCAACCCUUGUCCUUAGUUGCCAGCAUUCAGUUGGGCACUCUAAGGAGACUGCCGGUGACAAACCGGAGGAAGGUGGGGAUGACGUCAAAUCAUCAUGCCCCUUAUGAGUUGGGCUACACACGUGCUACAAUGGACGGUACAAAGGGCAGCGAAGCCGCGAGGUGGAGCCAAUCCCAGAAAGCCGUUCUCAGUUCGGAUUGCAGGCUGCAACUCGCCUGCAUGAAGUCGGAAUCGCUAGUAAUCGCAGGUCAGCAUACUGCGGUGAAUACGUUCCCGGGUCUUGUACACACCGCCCGUCACACCACGAGAGUUUGCAACACCCGAAGUCGGUGAGUAAC